rnacentral:rRNA from 1 species
GACGAACGCUGGCGGCGUGCUUAACACAUGCAAGUCGAACGGAAAGGCCCUGCUUUUGUGGGGUGCUCGAGUGGCGAACGGGUGAGUAACACGUGAGUAACCUGCCCUUGACUUUGGGAUAACUUCAGGAAACUGGGGCUAAUACCGGAUAGGAGCUCCUGCGGCAUGGUGGGGGUUGGAAAGGUUCGGCGGUUGGGGAUGGACUCGCGGCUUAUCAGCUUGUUGGUGGGGUAGUGGCUUACCAAGGCUUUGACGGGUAGCCGGCCUGAGAGGGUGACCGGCCACAUUGGGCCUGAGAUACGGCCCAGACUCCUACGGGAGGCAGCAGUGGGGAAUAUUGCACAAUGGGCGGAAGCCUGAUGCAGCAACGCCGCGUGCGGGAUGACGGCCUUCGGGUUGUAAACCGCUUUCGCCUGUGACGAAGCGUGAGUGACGGUAAUGGGUAAAGAAGCACCGGCUAACUACGUG